rnacentral:rRNA from 1 species
AUUGAACGCUAGCGGCAUGCUUAACACAUGCAAGUCGAGCGAGCGGCGGACGGGUGAGUAAUAUAUGGGAAACUGCCUAGUGGCGGGGGAUAACUACUGGAAACGGUAGCUAAUACCGCAUACCAUCAGAUGGGCCCAUAUGGGAUUAGCUAGUAGGUGGGGUAAUGGCUCACCUAGGCGACGAUCCCUAGCUGGUUUGAGAGGAUGACCAGCCACACGGGAACUGAGACACGGCCCAGACUCCUACGGGAGGCAGCAGUGGGGAAUAUUGGACAAUGGGGGAAAGCCUGAUGCAGCCAUGCCGCGUGUGUGAAGAAGGCCUUCGGGUUGUAAAGCACUUUUAGCGAGGAGGCGUUACCUGCAGAAGAAGCACCGGCUAACUACGUGCCAGCAGCCGCGGUAAUAC